rnacentral:rRNA from 1 species
AUUGAACGCUGGCGGCGUGGCUAAAGCAUGCAAGUCGAGCGAACCCGCAAGGGUGAGCGGCGGACGGGUUAGUAAUACGAUCGAACGUGCCCCGAGGCGGGGGAUAGGCAUGGGAAACUGUGCGUAAUACCCCAUAAUCUCUCCGGAGCAAAGGUUUACCACCUUGGGAUCGGCGAUCGUCCUAUCAGCUAGUUGGCGGGGUAAAGGCCCACCAAGGCUAUGACGGGUAGCAGGUGUGAGAGCACGACCUGCAACAUCGGGACUGAGACACUGCCCGGACUCCUACGGGAGGCUGCAGCGACGAAUCUUCCGCAAUGGGCGCAAGCCUGACGGAGCGACGCCGCGUGUGGGAUGAAGCGCCUUCGGCGUGUAAACCACUGUCAGGGAACAGAACCAAUGAUCGUUCCCAAAGGAAGAGACGGCUAACCCUGUGC